CCUACGGGAGGCAGCAGUGGGGAAUAUUGCGCAAUGGGCGAAAGCCUGACGCAGCGACGCCGCGUGAGGGAUGAAGGUCUUCGGAUCGUAAACCUCUGUCAGCAGGGAAGAACGGUCACUGUGCUAAUCAGCAGUGAAUUGACGGUACCUGCAAAGGAAGCACCGGCUAACUCCGUGCCAGCAGCCGCGGUAAUACGGAGGGUGCGAGCGUUAAUCGGAAUUACUGGGCGUAAAGCGCUCGUAGGCGGUAUGUCAAGUCAAGGGUGAAAUCCCCGCGCUCAACGUGGGAACUGCCUUUGAAACUGGCAAACUGGAGUGUGUGAGAGGAUAGUGGAAUGCCAGGUGUAGGAGUGAAAUGCGUAGAUAUCUGGAAGAACAUCGGUGGCGAAGGCGGCUAUCUGGCACAUAACUGACGCUGAGGAGCGAAAGCGUGGGUAGCAAACAGGAUUAGAUACCCCGGUAGUC
rnacentral:rRNA from 1 species